UACGUAGGGGGCAAGCGUUGUCCGGAGUUACUGGGCGUAAAGCGCACGCAGGCGGUCUCUUAAGUUUGGAGUGACAGUUGGUGGCUUAACUGCCAAAGUGCUUCGAAAACUGAGAGACUUGAGGGCUUCAGAGGGACACGGAAUUCCGGGUGGAGUGGUGAAAUGCGUAGAGAUCCGGAGGAACACCAGUGGCGAAGGCGACUUUCUGGCCUGUUCUUGACGCUGAGGCGCGAAAGCUAGGGGAGCAAACGGG
rnacentral:rRNA from 1 species